GCAAGUCGAGCGGAAACGAUGGAGCUUGCUCCAGGCGUCGAGCGGCGGACGGGUGAGUAACGCGUAGGAAUCUGCCCAGUAGAGGGGGAUAGCCCGAGGAAACUCGGAUUAAUACCGCAUACGCCCUACGGGGGAAAGGCCGGGAUCUUCGGACCGGUCGCUAUUGGAUGAGCCUGCGUUGGAUUAGCUUGUUGGUGGGGUAAAGGCCUACCAAGGCGACGAUCCAUAGCUGGUCUGAGAGGAUGAUC
rnacentral:rRNA from 1 species